ACAGUGACCAUGACCUGGGCUACUACACCGCACCAGCUAAGUUUCUGGGGAACCAGUUGCUAAGUUACGGCCAGACCCUUUGGAUCCGCUUCCUGUCAGAGACUCCGGAGCUCCUGCCCCAGAGUGUCUCUGUGGUGAUGGAGGGUUCCGGAAUGGCUGUGUCUGCCCAACUCUCUCGCCAGAAUGACCAGCUGCUUCAAGGCCAAAGCACAGCAGUCUUUACACUCAGAUUGAAAGAGAGGGAGCUGAGACCCCUCCUGUCAGCCUUUGAGUUCCGUCGCCUCCUCUCCAACGUGACCGCACUCCAGAUCAGCAACGCAGGGGGACUCAACUAUACGUCCCAGUAGCUGGUGUGACACUGGGUUCCGCUCAGACGGUUC